ensembl:miRNA
UGGCCUCUGGGCACGGGGGUUGGGUGUGCAAAGGGUGGCAGCAAGGAAGGCAGGGUUCCUGAGGUGUGUCCUCCUGCCCUCCUUGCUGUAGACUUUGGCCUGAGCAAGGAG